rnacentral:rRNA from 1 species
AUGGCGCGCAGGCCGGGGGCGGAGGAGGAGAGGCCGUGGGGGCUGGCUGAACACGGGAGGCUGGGGAAACGGAAGGUGGUGGGCGUGGUGGUGCUGGACGGAUGGGGCGAGGCGCCGCCCGACCCCUUCAACUGCAUCCACGUCGCCGACACCCCCACCCUCGACGCCCUCAAGAAGGUACCUGCGUCUCUCUUCUCUUCUCUCACGCUGCUUCAUCGGUUCCGGUUCGGUUCCUACAUGCGGAUGGAGAUCCUUUGCUUGUGUGGUUGCAUGGCAUGGCAGGGUGCUCCGGAGAGGUGGAGGCUGAUCAAAGCUCACGGCACGGCCGUGGGGCUGCCUACGGAUGAUGACAUGGGGAACAGCGAGGUCGGCCACAAUGCGCUUGGAGCCGGCCAGAUAUAUGCCCAGGGUGCAAAACUGGUGGAUUUGGCGCUUGACUCUGGGAAGAUAUAUGAGGGGGAGGGUUUUAAGUACAUCCAGCAGUCUUUUGACACCGGUACUUUGCACCUCAUUGGUUUGCUGAGCGAUGGGGGCGUGCAUUCAAGGAUCGAUCAGCUGCAGCUGCUUCUGAAGGGGGCUAGUGAACAUGGAGCGAAGAGGAUACGGGUUCAUAUCCUUACCGACGGUCGCGACGUAUUGGAUGGAAGCAGUGUCACAUUCGUGGAAACGCUUGAGAAUGAUCUGGCUAAGCUACAGGAGAAGGGUGUUGAUGCAAGGAUUGCAUCUGGUGGAGGCAGGAUGUAUGUUACAAUGGACCGCUAUGAGAAUGAUUGGCAAGUUGUGAAGCGUGGCUGGGAUGCCCAGGUUCUUGGUGAAGCCCCACACAAGUUUCCAAGUGCCCUUGAAGCCGUGAAGAAGCUGAGGGAUGAUGAUCCCAAGGCCAACGACCAGUAUUUACCCCCGUUCGUCGUCGUCGAUGAAAGCGGAAAACCUGUUGGGCCCAUAGUGGAUGGAGACGCUGUUGUGACAUUUAACUUCAGAGCUGAUCGAAUGGUGAUGCUCGCAAAGGCGCUAGAGUACGAGGACUUGGACAAAUUCGACCGUGUCAGAUUCCCGAGGAUUCGCUACGCCGGUAUGCUUCAGUAUGACGGCGAACUAAAGCUCCCAAGUCAUUACCUUGUUGCUCCCCCGGAGAUAGAGAGGACGUCCGGCGAGUACCUGGCGCACAAUGGCGUACGCACCUACGCUUGCAGCGAGACAGUGAAAUUUGGUCAUGUCACCUUUUUCUGGAACGGGAAUCGGUCGGGCUACUUCAACCCAAACCUGGAAAGGUACGAAGAAAUUCCCAGUGACACUGGUAUACCCUUUAAUGUACAGCCAAGAAUGAAGGCCGUGGAAGUUGCAGAGAAGGCACGGGAUGCCAUCCUCAGUGGCAAAUUUGAUCAGGUACGGGUAAACAUCCCGAAUGCAGACAUGGUUGGGCACACAGGUGACCUUGAAGCCACCAUCGCUGGGUGCAAGGCCGCUGAUGAAGCCGUCAAGAUUAUUCUUGACGCCAUUGAACAAGUAGGUGGCAUCUUCGUGGUCACCGCUGACCAUGGCAAUGCCGAGGACAUGGUGAAAAGAGACAAAUCCGGGAAACCGAUUCGCGACAAAGACGGGAAUGUGCAGCCCCUUACCUCACACACACUGAAUCCAGUCCCCAUCGCCAUCGGAGGUCCAGGGCUUGCGCCAGGGGCUACAUUCCGGGAGGACCUUCCGGAUGCCGGGCUCGCUAACGUCGCGGCGACACUCAUCAACCUCCAUGGUUUCGAGGCCCCUCGUCACUAUGAGCCAACUCUCAUCCAAGUCUCGCCGGUUCCCUUCUGA